rnacentral:tRNA from 1 species
UCCCUGGUGGCUCAGAUGGUAAAGCAUCUGCCUGCAAUGCAGGGGACCUGGGUUCGACCCCUAGCUUGGGAA